rnacentral:rRNA from 1 species
AUGCGUGCACUGCAUGCAGUGGGGUAUAUUCAUCGGGUUGCAUGCAAUGCCCUGCAUUCGGUGGGGUAUAUUCAUCGGGUUGCAUACGUGCACUGCAUGUGCUGUGUAGACUAUAGUAUUUCUAUCAAUGAUCAUAACUACUAUGCCCUUGAAGUCACAAAGGAAAGGCUGUUUACAGCAAGAGAAAAGGCUCAAGCAAAGCAAUGGCAGUUUAAUAUGGCCCGCCAGCAAGUAAGCACAAAGCAAAACGAGUUUGCAAGACAGACAAUGAUUUUGGCAAAGAUAUGCAAUGGCUUCUUUGAUAUAUUACCAUUUUGUAUGUAUCCCCAACGCCCAGACAGCGACGAUCCCAUUAUCACAUAUACGGGCGCGCACCUUCUCGUCGCGCGUGUCCAAGAACUUGCAAAAUCACUUUAUCAUUUUAUCACAGGCACCAAUCCUGCAGGAGGAUAUACUAGGAUGAUCUAA